CUUCUUACAUAAGAAUUUCUCCCUGGUAGAACUCUAACCUCAGUGCACUUUGAGCUUCCCAAAGCGGGCACCAGGAAACUGAACCCUGAAACAAGGCAAAACUUUGGUCUGGGGUCCUCAGAACAAGCUGGGACAUUGUAGAGCAACUCCCAGCUCCAAAGCUGCUCAGCUGAGAGAUUAGGGACAUCUCUUAGCCUCCUCAGGCUGCUAUUUCCUAGAAUUCCAGGCUCUGACAUUUGGAAGUGAUCAUCCAGUCCUCUUCUGAUGUCUAAAUUAGUUUUGCUUUGUGUCUGCAUGGUGACCCAGGCUCCCACACACAACUAUGGUCAGGAAACUCACUACAUUUUGGUGCAGCAAUUUUUGGAUAUAAUAUUCUUCCAGUAAAUGAAUUCCAUAUACCUCAAAUCCUUGGCUCUCAUUAUGUCUCCAUUUUAUCCAUUCCUUCUUCAAACAUUUACCCACAUACCUGGUGCAUACAGUUUCUGUCUGUCCAAAGACCCUCUUGACCAAUGUCCUGAGUGGAGAGCUCAGCAUGUUAUCCCUGUUACAGUGCUGCCCCCUGCUGGACACUGAUUUCUGGCACUUGUUACCUGGUAUCUGCUGACUCAAGAGGCAUCCUGGAGUGGCUCCUCUAGUCCUGGUCCUGCCUCCAUGCCCAGGGACCCUGUGAUCCUCAGAUGUGAAGAUGGGGUAUUCUCAGUGAUCCUGACUGUUGGGAGUCGCCCUGGCUCCAAAGACUAACUUCCCCAUCCCCGGAAAAGGGUCAUCCAAUGGUGAGCCCUGUUGGCUCACAUGAUCCUUACCCACCAAUCAGACUAGACCUGCUGACUCACAUGAUCUUUACCCACCAAUCAGACUAGCCCUGCUGGCUCACAUGAUUCUUACCCACCAAUCAGACUAGCCCUGCUGGCUCACAUGAUCCUUACCCACUAAUCAGACUAGCCCUGCUUACUCACAUGAUCCUUACCCACCAAUCAGAAAGCACCCCGUGCCAACCGUCAAACCAUUAAACUGUUAAACUAUCAUACCUGUCAUAACCCCCGGAUCUAUAAAUAUGCAGAGCUGUUCCUCAA